rnacentral:rRNA from 1 species
UACGAAGGGGGGCUAGCGUUGCUCGGAAUUACUGGGCGUAAAGCGCACGUAGGCGGAUUGUUAAGUCGGGGGUGAAAUCCUGGAGCUCAACUCCAGAACUGCCUUCGAUACUGGCGAUCUCGAGUUCGGGAGAGGUGAGUGGAACUGCGAGUGUAGAGGUGAAAUUCGUAGAUAUCGCAAGAACACCAGUGGCGAAGGCGGCUCACUGGCCCGAUACUGACGCUGAGGUGCGAAAGCGUGGGGAGCAACAGGG